rnacentral:rRNA from 1 species
GUGGGGAAUAUUGGACAAUGGGCGAAAGCCUGAUCCAGCCAUGCCGCGUGUGUGAAGAAGGUCUUCGAAUUGUAAAGCACUUUAAGUUGGGAGGAAGGGCAGUAAGUUAAUACCUUGCUGUUUUGACGUUACCGACAGAAUAAGCACCGGCUAACUUCGUGCCAGCAGCCGCGGUAAUACGAAGGGUGCAAGCGUUAAUCGGAAUUGCUGGGCGUAAAGCGCGCGUAGGUGGUUUUGUAAGUUGGAGGUGAAAUCCCCGGGCUCAACCUGGGAACUGCCUCCAAAACUGCAUGACUAGAGUACGGUAGAGGGUAGUGGAAUUUCCUGUGUAGCGGUGAAAUGCGUAGAUAUAGGAAGGAACACCAGUGGCGAAGGCGACUACCUGGACUGAUACUGACACUGAGGUGCGAAAGCGUGGGGAGCAAACAGGAUUAGAAACCCGAGUAGUCC